GGCUGAGCAGUUCAGCAGUGUACAAGAAUCACAUUCUCUGGUAUUUUUGGAUGCUCAGCUGAUGCAACCAGAAGAUACUUGUGUGAUGACAAUAUGUUAUUGUAAGUGGGAAGUCAGUAUUUCUUAUCUUCUGAGCUUUCUUGUUUUUACCUCCUUUACAGGCCACUCGCUCUGGUGGGACCCUCGUGCUUGUGGGGGUGGGCUCUGAGAUGACCACCGUACCCCUACUGCAAGCAGUCCUCCGGGAGGUGGAUAUCAAAGGUGUGUUUCGAUACUGCAACACGUGGCCAGUGGCGAUUUCGAUGCUUGCAUCCAAGUCUGUGAACGUAAAACCUCUCAUCACCCAUAGGUUU
rnacentral:sRNA from 1 species